CCAGGUUGAUUCUGCCUGACGUAGAUGCUAUUNUCUAAGGUUAAGCCAUGCAAUGCACCUGUGAUAAAGGACAGAUAGCUCAGUAAAACUAGGCUAUUUACCCUCGGCNCGCGAUAACCUGGAGAAAUUCAGGCUAAGGCCGAGGAUAAGGCCCAGCAUUAUCAGCUAGUUGGUAGUGUAACGGACUACCAAGGCGACGACGAUUGACGGGACACGGGAGUGUUAUGCCGGAGAGGGAGCCUGAGAGACUGCUCCCACGUCCAAGGACGGCAGCAGGCGCGAAAAUUGUCCACUCUUUGUAGGAGACAGUUAUGAGAAGUACGAGGGAUAGGUUCUGCAAAGAAGAAUGCGAAAAUUGGAGGGCAAGCUUGGUGCCAGCAUCCGCGGUA
rnacentral:rRNA from 1 species